rnacentral:misc_RNA from 1 species
CUCUGUAGUACCAUAGGCAGCAGUAGUUUCUUCCCCAAUGAACUUGUGAGUAGGGUAGCGGUGCUUGAGAUGAUUAAAAAUGAGAUCUUCACAAGCCUUAUCAGUUUCUGUGACUAAAUCAACCUGGCCUUUGUGCUCGACAUGCUUGGUCUGGUAAAAUCCUUUGCGGAUAACCUCGCCAGCGCUCUUAGCUGCUUCAACAGCAGUUUCCAGGAAUUCAGAGACUGAACCAUUUUCGGCCAUUGUGAGAAGAAGUGGAUUAGUGGGUGAUGAAGAUGAUGAAAUGUGAAACGGUUUCUUCGAGUUUGAGAGGAGCCUUAGCGUCAAAGCACUCGCAGAAACAAAAUGGAGGCU